rnacentral:rRNA from 1 species
UACGAAGGGGGCUAGCGUUGUUCGGAAUUACUGGGCGUAAAGCGCACGUAGGCGGAUUGUUAAGUUAGGGGUGAAAGUCCCGGGGCUCAACCCCGGAACUGCCUUUAAUACUGGCAAUCUCGAGUCCGAGAGAGGUGAGUGGAACUGCGAGUGUAGAGGUGAAAUUCGUAGAUAUUCGCAAGAACACCAGUGGCGAAGGCGGCUCACUGGCCCGAUACUGACGCUGAGGCACGAAAGCGUGGGGAGCAAACAGGG